GACGAACGCUGGCGGCGUGCUUAACACAUGCAAGUCGAACGAUGAAGCCCAGCUUGCUCCUGCUGGAUUAGUGGCGAACGGGUGAGUAACACGUGAGCAAUCUGCCCCGAACUCUGGGAUAAGCGUUGGAAACGACGUCUAAUACCGGAUACGACGCGCGAAGGCAUCUUCUGCGCGUGGAAAGAAUUUCGGUUCGGGAUGAGCUCGCGGCCUAUCAGCUAGUUGGUGAGGUAACGGCCCACCAAGGCGACGACGGGUAGCCGGCCUGAGAGGGUGACCGGCCACACUGGGACUGAGACACGGCCCAGACUCCUACGGGAGGCAGCAGUGGGGAAUAUAGCACAAUGGGCGAAAGCCUGAUGCAGCAACGCCGCGUGAGGGACGACGGCCUUCGGGUUGUAAACCUCUUUUAGUAGGGAAGAAGCGAAAGUGACGGUACCUGCAGAAAAAGCACCGGCUAACUACGUGCCAGCAGCCGCCGUAAUAC
rnacentral:rRNA from 1 species